rnacentral:tmRNA from 1 species
GGGCCUGUCAGGUUUCGACGGGGUACCUUAAGUUGAAGAAGCUAUCCGCAGGAGUGCGUCAAACCCAAAAUUAAACUAAACGCUGAAGAUAAUUUAGCACUGGCUGCCUAAGGGCAGCCCGUCCUUCCCGGUGCACCUGCACAUCGGGGUAAGGGCGUCGGUUUGCAGGAAACGCAUAUGCAAAGCUUUGAGCAUAUGGCAGAUCCAUGAAGCUACUGAAACCGUUACGUUGUCGAUGACAUAACGGCAGAGGGAAUGUCUGAUCAUCGACUAUGAUAGUAGAAGGGCAAGGGCGGGUGUUUCGGACAGGGGUUCAAUUCCCCUCAGGUCCACU